CUCUUGCAGACCCGACGCCUGGGGCACAGGUGUUAGGACACGAGAAAACGGGAGACGCUCGGCACGUCACAAGGGCCCGCCGUGUGUUGAGAUUUGACGGAAGGAGGCCUCGGAUGGGACCCAUGUGGGCUUUCAGAAAGAGCAGGAGGUCGUUUCACGGAACGUCCCCAAGAACGAUCACCUGUGGACAUCACUUCCCCUGGUAACUGGUCCCAGACGCUGGCAGUAGGGACUCCAACCUUCGGACUCAGUGAAAGCGCCUCAGAGAACGAUGUGGAUCCUGGGUUCUGGAAAUGAAGUGCCUCAGGACUCAGUUUCUUUGUGGAAUGAAGCAUUCAACUAAAUGAAGGUAAAAAUAGGGAACCCUACAAGCUUUCUGCAUAUAAGAUACAAGAACAGGUUUUUUCAGUGCACCUGUGCCUGGCACAUUUUCCUAGGGACACCCCAGUCCUCCUGUUUGCCUCCAGGGUCAUUGGUCACUCUGUGUGACAUUCAGCUGGUCCCCAGGUAGUUCUCCCAGAUGUUCCACAUGCAGCUGGUCUCAAUUCCUGUGCUUCCACGUGACAUUUUCAUAUUAUUUGAAGACUCUUGACUUGGACCGAGUUAGCAUAAACCUCACCGGGUUUACUGUUGUGACACAUGCACUUGUGUGUUGCUGGGCCAUGUGUUUCCCUGUAUAACCCGCCUGGUUUUUCACAGCCAGAGAUGGGUGUAGUUAAAGCGCUCCAAAUCACAGACCUCCAAGAAUUGAUGUACCUUUUUGAUACAUCUCCUUCCUGACAGGUCUACUUUUUUUCCAUCUGGGCCAAAUGGUAAUGUAGUUUGGCCGAUUUUCAUGUGCUUGCACAGCUGUCCCCGGAGAUCCUCAUGCAGCUUGGACGACUGUCCCCAGAGACCCCGGUGCAGCCCGGACAGCUGUCCCCGGAAACCCCGGUGCAGAAUUAGGGUUUUCCUUGGAGAGCCUUGCUAAUCCUGUUCACUCACUUUUGUGAACAGUUUUAUGUUAGGACACGAACAGUACGUUUAUCCAAUUUUCGGGAAACACAAAGCCAGGAAGCCUAGUCUAUGUCAAGUGAUAGUCCUGGCUCAUGACCACCACAGAGAUGAGAUCAAGGGGGCAAAACGGAUGAAAUGAAAUAACAGAAAUGUCAAACCUACAUUUGCAUUAGAAACACACACGUACAGAGUGAGGAAGAGUGGGUUAGAUCAUAUUUCAGCUAAAGGAUUUAUGGGAUUUUAAUUGGGAUCAAUACAAUAAGUGACACUGUGGCCAGAAAUGGAUAGUACCAGGUCCCCUCCAUCGACUCACAUGUGGAAAUGGAAAAGUCGGGAGAUCCUGGCACCCAACACUGAUCAGUGAAGCUUUCAGCAAAAUAGCUAAAUAGAGACACAGAUAAAAACACUCUGAAGAGCACUCAGCACAGAGCAUUGGGCAGCCAUCUCAGGCAUCAGCCAGAAAUUAUGGCAUCUUUGAUAUUUCACAUCCUUGUUAUGAAUACUUUAUCAUGGGAGGUGGAAAUGCUGUGUGUCUCGAAAUAGCGUGAAGCGAUCAGAUGAACUAGGUUUUCGUCGAUGACUGGCCGCUCCCCAAGGCGGGAUGGGCUUACAGAUGGCGGUUACAAGUGGCGUCAUGGGGCAAGGAAAACCAUCUCCGCCAGGAGCAGGAGGCUGUUGGGUCCCACACACCUGGAGGCUCACAUUCCUGGCUGAACCAACAGCUGGAAGAGAAGUUAGGGAAGAAAUCCUACAACUUUUAGGGCUUCUUGUAAAAGAGAUUCAGUGAUUAUUUGAUUCAAUAACCUUGUAUGUAUUUUAGUAACUUUGUACUUUGGGACAACAUUCAGAGCUUUGAGAGCUAGCUGCCUGUAAAAACGGAGACAAAACAGUUGGACCAGGAGCCAGGCAAUGGUCCUCCAUAAGUUUCAUCAGGACCCAGAGGUAUAAAUGCUUGGAAGUGGCAAAUUUAUAAAUAUUUGGCUCAAAUAAUCUUUUUAGAUCAUGUUUAGUAAGUCUUGAUGUGUUUCAGUUGUGUUAUGUCUGAAGAUGUAUUUCUUCUGUAGCCUCUACGGCCAGGGCGAGCGAGUCCAGCGCUAUUUUCUUUGAGAAAGCAAACACAACUGCAUCAUCCCUUUGUCUCUGAUGUUCCAAAUGUUUCUUUAGAGCCAUUUCUUGGAGGAUGGUCAGUGCCUACCACGUGAAAAUGUCCGGUGUUCUCGAGUGUGUAAGCAUCCAUCUGUGUGUGGGUUCUGCUUAGUAGAUUGCUUCCGUUAAAAGAUUUGCCUGAUAAGCUCUUAAGUCGUAAGCAUGCCGGUGUCUUCUGCUUCUAGUCAGUUGAUUUAAGUGAAUCUUAAUCAAGAUCCUCAAAUCUCGUUCAGUAAAAACGAAUGGACCCACAAAGCUAGUAUCUGGCGUCACCUACAAUUUCGGAGUGGAUGUACGUCUGCACACCCAUGCGUAUUAAUCUAACCUGUGGGAGGAGGAGGUCCGUGGUCCAGAGAGCCUGAUUUAACUCCGGUAAUUUCCCCCCACGUAGCGUCUUGGUGUGAAGGGUUGCAGGAAACACACCAUGAUUUUUAUACUUUAGGAGGAAAGGUGGCUUUCACAAUGUGUCAGAAUCUUUCAGUGCAACGAACGGAGUCUGUGCACUCAGAAAACCUGUUUUGGAUUUCUGAUCCUUAGAAGGGGUUACUCUUGAAACACCGGAGUAACCGUGGCCUCUAGCAGGUGCUUUAACAACCGAAGUCUGAAAGUUCUUCAGCAGACUGUGGGGUACGUCCUGGCUCCCAGGGGACUGGUCGCCCCAGGGAAGACCAUAAGCAUCGCCUGGGACGCUGGGGGGCCGGCGCUAGGACCGCCCCUCUGACGCUGCUGCUGGCUUGGGGGCUGUCUCCAGACCUCCUGUGAUUGUCUUCUCAGACUGUGAUCCCGAGUCUCGGUCACCAGAAACCGUUGGAAACAUCAAGCAGCCAUGAAUGAGGACUGGCUCAAUCACGGACUGGCUGCCUCAUUCCCUCCAAUUCUACUUGCAGACCCGAGAAUGUGUUUCCGUUCCUACUACAUUAUAAAGAAGCAGGAGAAAACUAGUUUCCUGUCCUGCACACGUUGAUGUCCUUUAGGUCAUUUUCAAGGAUGACGCCGUGUCUUCAUUAAGCUACUGGCAGAGAGACUGACCAAAGCACCUUGGUUUGCAUCUCAGUAGAUGAAAACGUGCCUGCAGGUGGAGAUUUGCGUGGGCCGACCACGUGCGGACUCACCGCUUAUGUCACCUGUCCCCCAAAGGCCCAGGAGCGCCCAGACUUCCCUUCAUCUCAAGUUUGCCACUUGGUAAGGCUGUGUCUUCAACACCAUCACCCAGACAAAGAUUUCUUGUACCCGCCUGCACGCUCCUGCAGCAUCACAGACCCAUCAUUAUGACCUGGCAUGUGCCAGCCAGCGCUCAUUGGACGAUGACACCCCUGUGCCCUGCCUCACGGCCCACAGGCCCUUGGGGACAGAGAGCAGGCAGUGCCGACCGAGGAUAAGACAGACAAGGUCUACGCGGUGAAGUGCUGCUUUCCUUAAGAGAAAGGAAGAAAAGGAAAUGAAAGUUGCUCGUGUGUUCAGAGGUCCCCUGAGAAGCCAGGACCAGAAUACCCACAGCCACAUGUGAGUCAGAUGCACCCCUACAGACACAGUGUCAGCCGCCCAGUGACCCAGGUCACUCCCUCCCCACAAGGGCUCCACCGAGUGACCCAUGUGGGGACUUCUCAGGGACCGAGGGGUCCAUGAUCCCUCUGAUGAGGAAGGACGGCGCCUGGUCCCCGGCCAUUCACAACAUGGAGACACAGCCACGGCCCCCACUCUGCACAUCUCCUGCAGAUCCCAACAUCCCGCCGUCCCUUUGGAUUCUGCAGCCCUGCCUCGGCCCCUCCGGCACUGCCCUCCCGUGCUCCGGGUCCCCAAAGCUUCCAUGCAAAGUUCUGUGGCUUCCAUGGGAUGUUCCCUGGGGCCACACAGCCCCGGCACCUUGUCCAUGCACAGGCACGGUGCCCUGCGGGAGCCCUAGCAACGCCCCACAACGCAUGCCUUUCGUCCGGUUUCUCUUACACAACUGACUUUAAUCGCCAGCAGAGAAGACUCUUCGGCAAGCACUGAAACCCACCGAUGUGCACUGUCUAUGUGGGGUCUCAGGAUGUGUGUGGCACGAAAGCCAACAAUGAGGGUAACACACCGCCAGUGUUUCAGUGUGGGAAUCAGAGCCGCUGCAAAACUUGCAACGCUUGUCGCUGCGAAGAUUUUCGAACAGAUUUUCUCCUUUUCAGAUUAAUUAAAUAAUGUAUCUACUUUAAA